rnacentral:rRNA from 1 species
CCCUAUGGGGCGCAUCAGGCGAGAAAUCUUAGCAAUGUGCGGAAGCACGACUGGGUCAGUCCGAGUGAUUCCUGAUAAAGGAGUCUUUUAUCUGUCCUAAAAGCACAGGUGAAUAAGGGGUGGGCAAGUCUGGUGUCAGCCGCCGCGGUAAUACCAGCACCUCGAGUGGUCAGGACGUUUACUGGGCCUAAAGCAUCCGUAGCCGGCUUUGCAAGUCUUCGGUUAAAUCCACCUGCUCAACAGAUGGGCUGCUGGAGAUACUACAAAGCUAGGGAGUGGGAGAGGCAGACGGUAUUCAGUGGGUAGGGGUAAAAUCCUCUGAUCCAUCGAGGACCACCAGUGGCGAAGGCGGCUUGCCAGAAUGCGCUCGACGGUGAGGGAUGAAAGCUGGGGGAGCAAACCGGAUUAGAUACCCGGGUAGUCCCAGCCGUAAACGAUGCAGACUCGGUGAUGGGUUGGCUUCGCGCUAACCCAGUGCCGCAGGGAAGCCGUUAAGUCCGCCGCCUGGGUAGUACGGACGCAAGACUGAAACUUAAAGGAAUUGGCGGGGGAGCACCACAAGGGGUGAAGCCUGCGGUUCAAUUGGACUCAACGCCGGUA